AGUGAACGCUGGCGGUAGGCCUAACACAUGCAAGUCGAACGGCAGCACAGUAAGAGCUUGCUCUUACGGGUGGCGAGUGGCGGACGGGUGAGGAAUACAUCGGAAUCUACUUUUUCGUGGGGUAUAACGUAGGGAAACUUACGCUAAUACCGCAUACGACCUACGGGUGAAAGCAGGGGAUCUUCGGACCUUGCGCGAUUGAAUGAGCCGAUGUCGGAUUAGCUAGUUGGCGGGGUAAAGGCCCACCGAGGCGACGAUCCGUAGCUGGUCUGAGAGGAUGAUCAGCCACACUGGAACUGAGACACGGUCCAGACUCCUACGGGAGGCAGCAGUGGGGAAUAUUGGACAAUGGGCGCAAGCCUGAUCCAGCCAUACCGCGUGGGUGAAGAAGGCCUUCGGGUUGUAAAGCCCUUUUGUUGGGAAAGAAAAGCAGCAGGUUAAUACCCCGCUGUUCUGACGGUACCCAAAGAAUAAGCACCGGCUAACUUCGUG
rnacentral:rRNA from 1 species